GACGAACGCUGGCGGCGUGCCUAACACAUGCAAGUCGAACGGAGAUAUGAUUUCGGUUGUAUCUUAGUGGCGAACGGGUGAGUAACGCGUGAGCAACCUGACUCUUAGAGGGGGGAUAACACCCGGAAACGAGUGCUAAUACCGCAUAAGACCACGACAUGGCAUCAUGACGAGGUCAAAGGAGCAAUCCGCUGAGAGAGGGGCUCGCGUCCCAUUAGAUAGAUGGCGGGGUAAUGGCCCACCAUGUCAGCGAUGGGUAGCCGAGCUGAGAGGCUGAUCGGCCACACUGGAACUGAGACACGGUCCAGACUCCUACGGGAGGCAGCAGUGGGGAAUAUUGGGCAAUGGGCGCAAGCCUGACCCAGCAACGCCGCGUGAGGGAAGAAGGCUUUCGGGUUGUAAACCUCUGUCCUUGGUGACGAAAAAAAAUGACGGUAGCCAAGGAGGAAGCCCCGGCUAACUACGUG
rnacentral:rRNA from 1 species